UAUCAGUUAUGAGCAAAGUUGUUACUGAUUUCUUGUAUCUCCCAGGAUUCCUGUUGCUUUACCCACAACAGACAAGUGAUUGAAAAUUCCUGAAGCAUUUCCUGGAGUAGAAUGGGUAGUGAAGACCCAUGUCAGUGAUCAGAGGACUCCGGAAACCAGGAGAGCUGCCUGCUGUGUCAAGGCUGGCCUGAGGGCAUUUGCUGAGCACAGAGACACCCAGGAGAGAUCAACAGUCUUUUCCCACUCCUCCUCUUGAUCUGUCUGAUUUGCACACAGAAAGCCAGCCAGGAUCCCCUAAGAGAGUCUCUAGGCCACAAUGGAGUCCUCAGGGCUGCAGGGAGCUGUGAUGCUAACAAUUUAACCUGCUGAGGACUUUAAAGAGUUGAAGGGGACUAAUAGUACCCAAGCAC
rnacentral:lncRNA from 1 species